rnacentral:lncRNA from 12 species
GUGGCUGAUGGCUGAGCCCCGCCCGGACCCCGGCAGUAACUCCCAGUGCUCCCAGUAACUCCCAGUGCUCCCAGUUCCCCCAUCCCAGUAUGGAGGGGCUCAUCCCCCCCUCCCACUUUGUGCUGCGCUCCAGAUCCCUGGGGGCGGAGCUUGGAGCUGAAAAGGGGCGUGGCCAUGACUGGGAGGCAGAGCUUAAAGCGCUGAGGGGGCGGAGCCAGCGAGUGGAGGCGGAGCUGGAGGCAGAAAAGGGGCGGGGACAGCGCUUGGAGGCGGAGCUGGAGAUGGAAAAGGGGCGGAGCCAGAGCUUGGAGGCGGAGCUGGAGGCAGAAAAGGGGCGGAGCCAGAGCUUGGAGGCGGAGCUUCAGGCAGAGAAGGGGCGGAGCCAAUCAGCAGCAAAGGAGCUCAAUGCCCUAAAGGGGCGGAGCCAGCGAGUGGAGGCAGAGCUGGAGACGGAAAAGGGGCGGAGCCAAACAAUGGAGGUGGAGCUCAAUGCCCUGAGGGGGCGGAGCCAGCGGGUGGAGGCGGAGCUUAAAUCAGAAAAGGAAAAGGGGCGGAGCCAAACAAUGGAGGUGGAGCUCAAUGCCCUGAGGGGGCGGAGCCAACGGGUGGAGGCGGAGCUUAAAUCAGAAAAGGGGCGGAGCCAAACCCUGGAGAUGGAGAUUGAGGCAGAAAAGGGGUGGAGCCAACGCCUGGAGGCAGAAAAAGGGCGGAGCCAGCACUUGGAGGCGGAGCUGGAGGCAGAAAAGGGGCGGAGCCAAAUCCUGCAGAUGGAGCUGGAGGCGCUGAGGGGGCGGAGCUUUGGCAAAGAGGGGGCGGAGCCAAGCCCAGAGCAGGUGCUGCUGGCCCGCUGGCGACAGAAGGUGUUCCAGCUGCUGCUGCAGGUGAGGCUGCAGCGGAGCCAGGAGCUGCGGCUGCAGGGACAGGUAAGAGCACAGACACACCUGGGACAGGUGAGAGACACACCUGGGACAGAUGAGGGGACACUGGGACACACCUGGGACAGGUGA